rnacentral:tRNA from 1 species
AUGUCGUAGGCAAGCGUCUGCGUGCCGAAUGCGCGGUUGUCGCAUUCGGGGAGCGCGCCGUCCAGACUCCCCGCCGUUGCGUUGACGAUGACGUC